UAAAAGACUGUGAAAAGAACUAGUAAAUUAAUCGAUUCUUACAGAGAUAGAAUCCUAGGCUGGAAGAUUCUUAGAUAGGUUAAUUGAAGCUCUCUUGGAGUUGCAACUUUGAAGAAUGUAGUAGAAGUUGUCGGAUAUUUUCCGUUAAAAGAAAGGUUUAACCUAAGAUGCUGCUACUAUGAAGGUAGUAAGUAGGGUGGUACCACGAGAUUAAUCCCUCGUCCCUAUG
rnacentral:ncRNA from 1 species